UAUUUUUGAAGCCAUGAGGUAUCCUUUACAUGAAAUUAAUUCUUGCUUUUCUAUUGAUGUUUUUGAUACACUUACACAGGAAUUCUUAAAAGCAAUGAAUGAGGACAUGUUGGAAACCACCAUUGAGCAAGGGAUCAGAUUCACAAGUAAUGGCACCCCAAUUUCUACAAAGAAGCUUAAGGAAACGUUGGAUGAUGACAUGAUCAAAACCGUAGCCUCCCUUGAGACAAUACCGCGUCAUGAAAGGUAUACUCCUCCUAUGUCAAUUCCGUUAUCUACUUAUAAACUUCUUCCUUCUGUGGUUCAAGCCCCAACACUUGAACUGAAACCUUUACCAGAUCACUUGAAGUAUGUUUAUUUGGGAGAUAAUGAGACUUUACCUGUGAUCAUCUUAUCCAAAAUUAUGGUUAUACAAGAGGAACAACUCGUGGAAAUUCUCAAGGCACACAUGACUGCAAUUGGAUGGACUUUGGCUGAUAUCAAGGGAAUUAGCCCUACUACUUGUGUGCAUUGAAUUCUUCUUGAGGAAGGGUCAAAACCAUCAAGGGAAGCUCAAAGACGUCUCAACGCUCCUAUGAUGGAAGUUGUGAAGAAGGAGGUUAUCAAACUCCUUGACUGUGGCAUUAUCUACCCUAUUUUGGACUCCAAAUAGGUUUCACCGGUUCAAGUACUUCCUAAGAAGUCCGGAAUAAAAGUUGUGAAGAAUGAGGAGAAUGAGCUCGUACCCCAAAGAACCGUCACAGGCCAUAGAGUCUGCAUCGACUAUAGGAAGCUCAAUUCCACCACAAGAAAAUAUCACUUUCCCUUGCCUUUCAUUGAUCAAAUGCUUGAGAGGUUAGCUGGGCAUCUUUUUUAUUGUUUUCUUGAUGGUUAUUCAUGUUAUAAUCAAAUAUGUAUAGCUCAAGAGGAUCAAGAGAAAACCACUUUCACUUGUCCUUUUGGCACCUUUGCUUACCGUCGAAUGCCAUUUGGACUUUGCAAUACCCCAGGUACGUCUCAAAGAUGCAUGCUUAGUAUUUUUUCUGAUUAUAUUGAGAAAAUAAUUGAAGUUUUCAUGUAUGAUUUUAGUGUUUUUGGUGAUAGCUUCGAAAAUUGCUUAGGAAACCUAGAAUUAAUCUUGAAACGUUGCAUUGAAACUAACCUUGUGUUGAAUUGGGAAAAAUGUCACUUCAUGGUUACUCAAGGGAUUGUUCUCAGGCAUAUUGUUUCUUCUAGGGGAAUAGAAGUAGAUAAAGCUAAGGUUGAUCUUGUUCGCUACUUAGAAGUGAGAGAGGUUCGUUCUUUUCUUGGAUAUGCAGGAUUUUACAGACGCUUUAUCAAGGACUUCUGAUACAGGUUCUAUUACACUUCAAUUAAACUAAUUUAAGUUCUAUUACAUGACUCUGUUCCUACUUAUGUUCCUUAAGAUCAAUUUUUGGGAUUGCAGGGAAACAUUAUUUUCUAAUUUUUCCUUUAAAAAUUAUAAAAUAUCAGGCUUGCUCACCUAAGGGACAAUUUUAAAGGACUGUGAGGGACAAGUGAAUCUCAACCACAGUGUGGUAUAUGACAAAUUUGGACAUUGGAAUUAAUCUGGUGCUGGAACUCUAGGAAUGUGGAGAGAAUAUCAUCAUUUGCAGUGUUAGCAAGAACCAAAAGGAAAGUGAAUACUAGAAUUAGGCAAAUGGAUUUGAUGUAGUGUUUCAAAACCAUUACUAAAGUGAAUGGUAAAUAGACUUGUUUCUAUUAUGCAGCUACCCUUUGUCUGACAAAUAGUGCUUGGAUCACGAGGUUAAAAAUAAUACUUGGUGCUGCUCAAAGAUUGGCUUAUCUACACGAGGGACUGGAAGUCCAGGUGAUCUAUUGAGAUUUCAAAUCUUCCAACGUGCUUUUGGAUGAGGACUUUAAGCCGAAGCUCUCAGACUUUGGGCUUGCUAGAGACGGGCCAAAGGGUGACCGUUACUCAUGUAUCGACAGCAGUAAAUAGGUAAUAGAUGUGGGCGGGAAUCUUGUUACUAGCCCAAGUUCUUUAAGGACUCGAUGUCAACUUCAUUUGGAGGUUGGUUGAAUCUUGUUGAAUUGCAAUAUUGAGAGGACAAUUGGUAUUAGUUAUCAUUCGCCUUUCUGGUUCUUUGCUUCUAUUUAACAAUUUCCCUGGUUCAUAUUGUACUUGCUUUUGUUAUCAGUUGGUAGGGACUUAUGGGUAUGCUGCCCCAAAGUAUGUUGAAACAGGCCAUCUUUCCAUCCAUAGUGACUUAUGGAGUUUUGGUGUGGUCUUGUAUGAGAUCCUCACUGGGAGGCAUGUGUUAGAAAGACACCGGCCAACAAUGGAGCAGAAGCUUCUUUAUUGGGUUAGACAGUACCCUGCAGAUAAUAAAAAGUUCAGCAUGAUAAUAGAUCCACUCCUGAGAGACCAGUAUUGUAUUAAUGUAGCUCGGAAAAUCGCCAAGUUGGCAGAUAGCUGCCUGAACAAGAAUUCGAAUGGCAGGCCAACAAUGAAUUAGGUAGUAGAGAUCUUGAAGCAAGCUUUACAAGAGUCACAAAAGGGUACCAAUUCUGUAAAUAACACUUUUGGGGCAUUUGGGUCUAAAUUGGGUAGAAAGAACCCCAAGUUGAGGUGAUAUAAGAGAGAAGCCUGCGAUCAAAUGAAAGCAUUAUUAAUAGUGUCUGCUGUGACUAUAUUCUAUUUAAACUUUUUAACAAGUUGAGAUGGUUGAAUAAGUGGAAGAGUAGUGCUAGAGACACCAAAAAAUUGUACCAAAUUCUAAUCCCAAAUGAUGUGGCAUUUGCCACCUCAUCCGUAGUAAUCUCUAACAUGUAAUUAUGUCAAUUA